UAGUCACGGUUUGGCUGGGUCCUGACUUUCAGGAGCUCUCACAAGGCUGAAAUCAAGAUGUUCUGGAGGGCCAGAAGUCUCCUCUAAAGGAUUGAGCUAAGGUCCACUUCUAAGAUCAUCUUUUUUGUACCUCUGGUCUUCCACAAUUCAGAUCAUCUCACUGAAGGUUCUAUUUAUGUCUUCAGGGAAGGCAUUAGGAACACUGAUUACUAAGCCGUCAUGUAUUAUGGGCAGAGAACU